CGCGUAGACGGCCGAGUAAGUUAUAGGUGAAAGCCCAUCUUUCAAGGAUGGAAUUGCCUGUAAUACUGCUUGGCUUGAGUGCAGGAGAGGGAAGCGGAAUUCCUAGUGUAGCGGUGAAAUGCGUAGAUAUUAGGAGGAACACCAGUGGCGAAGGCGGCUUUCUGGACUGUAACUGACGUUGAGGCGCGAAAGCGUGGGGAGCAAACA
rnacentral:rRNA from 1 species